rnacentral:lncRNA from 1 species
UGUGUACAAUGGUGUAGUUUUGAGGGUAUUCAACAGAUUACACUCGUGUCACAGGAUAUCGAUGUAUAUCCUAUAGGUGGUCAUUCAUGUUCAAUAAACGAAUGUAGGACAGAAAGUCACAGGACAAAAAGUCACAAUUUAGUUUAGUUAAACAUAUUUCAUUUGUUCAAGUACAAAUUGGAUAAGACACAAAAAUAAAUAAAGGAAUAUUUAGAGAACAAAAACACAAAAAAUAAAAUACAAAAUUAAUUCAACAAACGAAAAAAG